rnacentral:rRNA from 1 species
CUUCGGGAGCUGACGAGUGGCGGACGGGUGAGUAACGCGUAGGAAUCUGCCUUAUAGUGGGGGACAACUUGGGGAAACUCAAGCUAAUACCGCAUACGCCCUACGGGGGAAAGCGGGGGAUCUUCGGACCUCGCGCUAUGAGAUGAGCCUGCGUUAGAUUAGCUAGUUGGUGGGGUAAAGGCCUACCAAGGCGACGAUCUAUAGCUGGUCUGAGAGGACGAUCAGCCACACUGGGACUGAGACACGGCCCAGACUCCUACGGGAGGCAGCAGUGGGGAAUAUUGGACAAUGGGCGCAAGCCUGAUCCAGCAAUACCGCGUGUGUGAAGAAGGCCUUCGGGUUGUAAAGCACUUUCAAUUGGGAGGAAAACCUACCGGCCAAUACCCGGUAGCUUGACAUUACCUUUAGAAGAAGCACCGGCUAACUCCGUGCCAGCAGCCGCGGUAAUACGGAGGGUGCAAGCGUUAAUCGGAAUUACUGGGCGUAAAGCGUGCGUAGGUGGUUCGUUAAGUCAGAUGUGAAAGCCCCGGGCUCAACCUGGGAACUGCAUUUGAAACUGGCGGACUAGAGUUGAGUAGAGGGGAGUGGAAUUUCAGGUGUAGCGGUGAAAUGCGUAGAUAUCUGAAGGAACACCAGUGGCGAAGGCGACUCCCUGGGCUCAAACUGACGCUGAGGUACGAAAGCGUGGGUAGCAAACAGGAUUAGAUACCCUGGUAGUCCACGCUGUAAACGAUGUCAACUAGCCGUUGGUCCUCUUAACAGGAUUAGUGGCGCAGCUAACGCAUUAAGUUGACCGCCUGGGGAGUACGGCCGCAAGGUUAAAACUCAAAUGAAUUGACGGGGGCCCGCACAAGCGGUGGAGCAUGUGGUUUAAUUCGAUGCAACGCGAAGAACCUUACCUACCCUUGACAUCCAUAGAAUC